rnacentral:rRNA from 1 species
CCUACGGGAGGCUGCAGUGGGGAAUAUUGGGCAAUGGGCGAAAGCCUGACCCAGCAACGCCGCGUGAAGGAAGAAGGCUUUCGGGUUGUAAACUUCUUUUCUCAGGGACGAAGCGAGUGACGGUCCCUGAGCACUACGCGACGGCUAACUACGUGCCAGCGGCCACGGUAAUCCGUAGGUGGCAGGCGUUAACCGGAUUUGCUGGGUGUAAGGGGCGUGUGGGCGGGACUGCAAGUCAGAUGGGAAAACCACGGGCUCAACCUGGGGCCUGCAUUUGAAACUGUAGUUCUGGAGUACUGGAGAGGCAGACGGAAUUCCUAGUGUAGCGGUGAAAUGCGUAGAUAUUAGGAGGAACACCAGUUGCGAAGGCGGUCUGCUGGACAGCAACUGACGCUGAGGCGCGAAAGCGUGGGGAGCAAACAGGAUUAGAUACCCUAGUAGUC